UGGCGGCAGGCUUAACACAUGCAAGUCGAGCGGUAACAGGAGAAGCUUGCUUCUCGCUGACGAGCGGCGGACGGGUGAGUAAUACUUAGGAAUCUACCUAGUAGUGGGGGAUAGCUCGGGGAAACUCGAAUUAAUACCGCAUACGACCUACGGGAGAAAGGGGGCAACUUGUUGCUCUCGCUAUUARAUGAGCCUAAGUCGGAUUAGCUAGUUGGUGGGGUAAAGGCCUACCAAGGCGACGAUCUGUAGCUGGUCUGAGAGGAUGAUCAGCCACACCGGGACUGAGACACGGCCCGGACUCCUACGGGAGGCAGCAGUGGGGAAUAUUGGACAAUGGGGGCAACCCUGAUCCAGCCAUGCCGCGUGUGUGAAGAAGGCCUUUUGGUUGUAAAGCACUUUAAGCAGUGAAGAAGACUCCAUGGUUAAUACCCAUGGACGAUGACAUUAGCUGCAGAAUAAGCACCGGCUAACUCUGUGCCAGCAGCCGCGGUAAUACAGAGGGUGCAAGCGUUAAUCGGAAUUACUGGGCGUAAAGCGAGCGUAGGUGGCUURAUAAGUCAGAUGUGAAAGCCCCGGGCUUAACCUGGGAACGGCAUCUGAUACUGUUAGGCUAGAGUAGGUGAGAGRAAGGUAGAAUUCCAGGKGUAGCGGUGAAAUGCGUAGAGAUYYUGGAGGAAAUACCGAUGGCGAAGGCAGCCUUCUGGCAUCAUACUGACACUGAGGUUCGAAAGCGUGGGUAGCAAACAGGAUUAGAUACCCUGGUAGUCCACGCCGUAACGAUGUCUACUAGUCGUGGGUCCCUUGWRGACUUAGUGACGCMGCUAUMGCAMUWAAGUAGACMGSCUGGGGAGWACCRCGCCGCAWGRKUAUACAUCWCAUGAAUUGAYSGGGGGCCSCACGUGGACAUGKGUAAUCSAUGCAGCGCGGAGAAMCAUUACCUUGGUCC
rnacentral:rRNA from 1 species